rnacentral:rRNA from 1 species
UACGAAGGGGCUAGCGUUGUUCGGAAUUACUGGGCGUAAAGCGCACGUAGGCGGAUCGAUCAGUCAGGGGUGAAAUCCCAGGGCUCAACCCUGGAACUGCCUUUGAUACUGUCGAUCUGGAGUAUGGAAGAGGUGAGUGGAAUUCCGAGUGUAGAGGUGAAAUUCGUAGAUAUUCGGAGGAACACCAGUGGCGAAGGCGGCUCACUGGUCCAUUACUGACGCUGAGGUGCGGAAAGCGUGGGGAGCAAACAGGG